rnacentral:ncRNA from 1 species
AAAGCUCUUAGUGCAUCGAAGCUCUACGUACAUCGUAGAAGGUUUAGGUAGAUACACUAUGGGCUUU